CAGCAGCCGCGGUAAUACAGAGGGUGCGAGCGUUAAUCGGAUUUACCGGGCGUAAAGCGUGCGUAGGCGGCUUUUUAAGUCGGAUGUGAAAUCCCUGAGCUUAACUUAGGAAUUGCAUUCGAUACUGGGAAGCUAGAGUAUGGGAGAGGAUGGUAGAAUUCCAGGUGUAGCGGUGAAAUGCGUAGAGAUCUGGAGGAAUACCGAUGGCGAAGGCAGCCAUCUGGCCUAAUACUGACGCUGAGGUACGAAAGCAUGGGGAGCAAACAGGAUUAGAGACCCCCGUAGUCCCUGUCUCUUAUAC
rnacentral:rRNA from 1 species